UCAUGCCACGCGUGUUUUCAAAGUGUUCAAUACCAAUGUCAUGGGAAACAAACAAUUGAAACAUAUAUCAUCCUCUUCACUGCCCAAGGAAACAAAUCAGAAGCACUAAGCCCCAAAGGUUUCCCCCAAACUGUUUUUAUUCCAACAAUCAAAUCUUCAGAAACUAUGAAUCUCUCCAUAAAAAGUUUUGGCUUUCUCUCAAUCUCUCAAGAAACAGGUGAAUCGCCCUCAAUCUUUUUCUCAAUCCUUUUCGUUGAACUUGAAAUCUCUGAACCAAAUCUUUCUCUCAAUUUGGCGCUUACUCAGUGGUUGAACUCGAAUCUCUGAUGGUUUUAUGCAUGCUGCAACAUGAAUAUUAGGAUAGGUCUCAUGCUUCCAAGAACAUGGGACUGAAGUUGAAAAAGCCAUAGAGCAAUUAGGAAAAUCAAGGACCUUAAUCAAUGUAAAGUGAAAGACAAGGUAGAAAUGAAAAAUAAUAAGUAUAUAGAUCCUUUCCUCAAUGUACAUUAUUUUUAUAUGGGCAAGUUGAAGGCAAGUAGCUUCUGCCUGGGCAAGGAAGGUGUUGGGUUAAAAAUUUGACGUGAUGCUCUAUGCUCUCUCUGUUUAAAGAAAAUUACUACAUCAAAUAUAUGUUUUUAUAAUGCAUUUGUAAUGAUAAGCUACAAAUUUAGUUGGAUAUGAUGAUUUUCAAAUUUAGUAGUUAAUGCAGAUAAAAUAUUUCUACGAUUAA